UGGGGGGGUGCUAUACAUGCAGUCGAGCGGACAGAUGGGAGCUUGCUCCCUGAUGUUAGCGGCGGACGGGUGAGUAACACGUGGGUAACCUGCCUGUAAGACUGGGAUAACUCCGGGAAACCGGGGCUAAUACCGGAUGGUUGUUUGAACCGCAUGGUUCAGACAUAAAAGGUGGCUUCGGCUACCACUUACAGAUGGACCCGCGGCGCAUUAGCUAGUUGGUGAGGUAACGGCUCACCAAGGCGACGAUGCGUAGCCGACCUGAGAGGGUGAUCGGCCACACUGGGACUGAGACACGGCCCAGACUCCUACGGGAGGCAGCAGUAGGGAAUCUUCCGCAAUGGACGAAAGUCUGACGGAGCAACGCCGCGUGAGUGAUGAAGGUUUUCGGAUCGUAAAGCUCUGUUGUUAGGGAAGAACAAGUGCCGUUCAAAUAGGGCGGCACCUUGACGGUACCUAACCAGAAAGCCACGGCUAACUACGUGCCAGCAGCCGCGGUAAUACGUAGGUGGCAAGCGUUGUCCGGAAUUAUUGGGCGUAAAGGGCUCGCAGGCGGUUUCUUAAGUCUGAUGUGAAAGCCCCCGGCUCAACCGGGGAGGGUCAUUGGAAACUGGGGAACUUGAGUGCAGAAGAGGAGAGUGGAAUUCCACGUGUAGCGGUGAAAUGCGUAGAGAUGUGGAGGAACACCAGUGGCGAAGGCGACUCUCUGGUCUGUAACUGACGCUGAGGAGCGAAAGCGUGGGGAGCGAACAGGAUUAGAUACCCUGGUAGUCCACGCCGUAAACGAUGAGUGCUAAGUGUUAAGGGGGUUUCCGCCCCUUAGUGCUGCAGCUAACGCAUUAAGCACUCCGCCUGGGGGAGUACGGUCGCAAGACUGAAACUCAAAGGAAUUGACGGGGGCCCGCACAAGCGGUGGAACCAUGUUGGUUUAAUUCGAAGCAACGCGAAGAACCUUACCAGGUCUUGACAUCCUCUGACAAUCCUAGAAGAUAGGACGUCCCCCUUCGGGGGCAGAGUGACAGGUGGUGCCAGGGUUGUCGUCAGCUCGUGUCGUGAAAAAGGUUGGGGUUAAGUCCCCGCAACGAGCGCAACCCUUGGAUCUUAGUUGCCAG
rnacentral:rRNA from 1 species